CUAGUGGUUGGGGAUGAGCUCGCGGCCUAUCAGCUUGUUGGUGGGGUAAUGGCCUACCAAGGCGGCGACGGGUAGCCGGCCUGAGAGGGUGGACGGCCACAUUGGGACUGAGAUACGGCCCAGACUCCUACGGGAGGCAGCAGUGGGGAAUAUUGCACAAUGGGCGGAAGCCUGAUGCAGCGACGCCGCGUGGGGGAUGACGGCCUUCGGGUUGUAAACUCCUUUCGACCGCGAGGAAGCCGCCUGGUUGGAAGGGUGGUGACGGUAGUGGUAGAAGA
rnacentral:rRNA from 1 species